CAGAAAUGGAGGCUUUUUGCCUGAAGUUGAGGUUCCACUCAUCUAAUUUACAGUUCUUCUAACCUACAAAGUAGCUGCCUGGUUCCAGUGCUCACAACUGUGUGAAAACAAAGGUGAUACAUUGCUGGUAAAGGAGUGUGAAUAUACUGGUGCCAGCACUUUCCCAGUGCUUCUGCUGUGUCACCACUGCGCUUCCUGGCCCGACACAGUCCUGACAGAUCAGUGCUGUCUCACUUCUCCUUUCUAGUUUAACGGGAGUUUCUUCAGCUGCUCGAAGGUGAUGAAAAACUGAGGAAAAACAGGAGUUGAGAAGCAAGGUUGGUUUCAUGAACAAAGGCACUCGCUAACUGAGCAAUGCAAGGAAGUGGGAGUGACACGCCAACAGCCAACCAGGUUACAGUAUCAACUAUCCAGUUUGGUUGCGGCAUGUUGUUUUCUCGCUGCUGAUUCUUUGCAUGGAGUGAGAAGAGAAAGUGAAAAAAAAAAAAAAGAGUGCCACAUAGAACAAGAGGAAAAGUCACCUUGACAGAAUGGCAUUUCAAAAUUAUCAUUAUUAUUAUUAUUAUUAUUUUUAAAACGGACUGUAGUCAGAACAAGGCGCUUAUAAUUAGUAGUGCCACACCACCUGAGCACUCAGC